rnacentral:rRNA from 1 species
GACGAACGCUGGCGGCGUGCCUAAUACAUGCAAGUAGAACGCAGUUGCGCACGCGUGAGUAACGCGUAGGUAACUGCCUGGUAGCGGGGGAUAACGUUUGGAAAAGAUAGCUAAUACCGCAUACUACCAGAUGGACCUGCGUGGUAUUAGCUAGUUGGUGGGGUAACGCAUCACCAAGGCAACGAUACAUAGCCGACCUGAGAGGGGGAUCGGCCACACUGGGACUGAGACACGCGCCAGACUCCUACGGGAGGCAGCAGUAGGGAAGCUUCGGCAAUGGACGGAAGUCUGACCGAGCAACGCGGCGUGAGUGAAGAAGGUUUUCGGAUCGUAAAGAUCUGUUGUAAGAGAAGCGGUAUCUUACCAGAAAGGGACGGCUAACUACGUGCCAGCAGCCGCGGUAAUUC